rnacentral:tmRNA from 1 species
GUCUCCCUGUCUUCUUGAAAACUGCGCCGUCCUACCCCAUAAUACGAGGAUGGUUGUAACUCCGGCAAUCUGGAGGCGUUCUGGACGGCGGUUCGAUUCCGCCCACCUCCACCCAAGCGUAUCAAGUUGAGCAUCAGGGUAUUUUUGGGUGGGGGUGCACUGGCUUCGACAGGGCGAACAAAAGUGAGCAGGCAACCCGUCAGGCGAUCGACGUUAAUGAAGCAAAUCUCUAAACGCCAACGAUGAGCGUUUCGCAAUCGCCGCUUAAGGCCUUUGCCGAGGCUGCUUGAGCCUUGUUACCAAAGAAAAGCCGGCGGGGACCUUCGGGUCCCCGUCGUCA